rnacentral:misc_RNA from 1 species
CCAUGGCAUUGCACCAUUGACUCUUAACCUCACUAAACCAGAUCCCAUCUUCAAAGACAAGUUCAUGCCAUUAAAUGCUUCAAAAGAGAUGCCAGUGAGAGCAGCCUUGUCAAAUUCCUUUGGCUUUGGGGGAACAAAUGCAUCUCUGCUGUUCGCCUCUGCUUCGUAGAAGACAUGAUUGGGCAUAUCCAAAUUCCCUUGAUCUGGACUACUGACAUUGUAGGAUAUCUUUCUGCAAACUAUUAAUUGAAUUGAAACAUCUACAGUUUCUAGCUAACCAGAACUGAAUGAAUAUCUACCAGUGAUCAGAUCUGAUAUCACGAGGCUUGUUUCUUGCCAACUUUGCCCCAGCAAUGUCACUGAACCUACACAAAGGCUUCUUCUGCCCUGUUUUACAUAGCAACAUGCAUAUACAAACGCAAGGUUGUUCUUUAUAUGAGUUACUGAUGGCCUAACACAUACCACUAUUGUUGAACAUCAUGCUUAUGUUUAUAGGAACCAUUUUUUCUCUUUGCCUCCCUCAAGGAGUGUAAUCCGUGGUACUGACAAUUUCAUAACUGUGCAAAAGGAGGUUGUCUAAUAGAAUGCAAAUUGGAGUUUUACCAUCUAAAUCAAC